CUAUUGAUAAAUACUAAAUCACACACAUAUCGACACGUUCUUCGGGGUGCCCUAAAUAGGGUCGAAGAUAUGGGAUAUGUGGAGGUCUAAC
rnacentral:sRNA from 1 species